rnacentral:lncRNA from 1 species
GGGCGAUGAUGGCGGAACUUCAGCGGCGGACUCGGCCAGGAGGAGGGGCGGCGCGGUGGAUCCGACCAGGCGGAGAGGAGGAGCAGGAGGAAGAGGCCAGCGCUGGCGGUGGGUAGGGAGAGAGAAGAGGAGAGAGGGGGGGGCAACCACGGAAAAGAGAGGGAGGGGGACCACUUUUAACACCUUUGGCACAUUUUAACACCCCCUCCAUGUGUUUAUGAAAAGAGAGGUGUUAAAUUUUAACACCUCUCUUUUAACACUUGUGUUUGGCAGCCAAGGUGUUAAAAAUGUGUUAAAAGGGGUGUUAAACUUUAACACCCCCUCCCAAACAGGCCCUUAG